rnacentral:rRNA from 1 species
GACGAACGCUGGCGGCGUGCCUAACACAUGCAAGUCGAACGGAGUCGGCCCCGCAAGGGACUGACUUAGUGGCGGACGGGUGAGUAACGCGUGAGCAACCUGCCUUUCAGUGGGGGACAACAGUUGGAAACGACUGCUAAUACCGCAUAAUGCAUUUUGACCGCAUGAUCGAGAUGCCAAAGAUUGAUUGCUGAAAGAUGGGCUCGCGUCUGAUUCGAUAGUUGGUGAGGUAACGGCCCACCAAGCCGACGAUCAGUAGCCGGACUGAGAGGUUGAACGGCCCCAAUGGCACUGGGAUACGGCCGAGGCGCCUACGGGGGGAAGCAGGGGGGAAUAUUGGGCAAAGGGGGAAUCCGUGACCCAGCAUCUCCGCGUGAAGGAAGAAGUCUUUAGGGUUGUAAACUUCUUUUACCAGGGACGCAGAAAGUGACGGUACCUGGAGAAAAAGCCACGGCUAACUACGUG